GGUCAAGCUUGCAAGCUCCUUUCUGUAACUCAGCAGUCAUGGGAGUUUCUGUGUGAUGUGUUCUGCGUGACUCUACUGGGUGUUGUGAGAGGAGGUUAGUCAAGCUCAGAACUCCAAACAUAUGUCUUCGCUGGAUGCUGUGAAUUUAGCUCAAGCAAGCUCAGAACUUCACACAUGGAUUUAGUCACCUAUGAUGACGUGCAUGUGAACUUCACUCAGGAAGAGUGGGCUUUGCUGGAUCCUUCUCAGAAGAGUCUCUAUAAAGGUGUGAUGCUAGAGACCUAUAGGAAUCUCACAGCUAUAGGUUACAUUUGGGAAGAACAUACAAUUGAAGACCAUUUCCAAACUUCUAGAAGUCAUGGAAGGAGGAGGUCCCCUCGAGACCCUCAAAUAACUGGACCUGCUGGACGGGUUAAGUGGCGCCCGACAUGGGACACGAGGUAUGACCACCCUUCAGACAACGGAUUAAAGAGGUAACGCGCAGACAGAGAAACAGUGGGACAGUCCGCCAAUACUUCACUCGAGUGUCGAGGACUGACGUCUGAGAGGAUCACCAUGGACAGAUCUCUCACAACAUUGAUGAUGCUGGUCAUGACGGCGACAGCCAGGCAAGCCCAGACCUAUCAGGUUUUUAACUAUACCUGGAUUAUUCAAAAUCAGGCUGGAGACAGAGUUAACUCCAGCUCCAAGAUUGGUGCCAAGCCCCAUUGGCCCGAGUUAGAAGUAGACAUCUGUGUCCUCGCAUUGGGUGCAGAUGCCGCCUGGGGCACCCCUGAUUAUUAUAUGCCUCAAUUAACAGCAGUUAACACAGGUGAUAAAAAGACUGAUCCAGGUUGCAGCAGUGAUAUACGUCGUACUGCCCUGGCCUUACACACUGGAGGUAUAUAUGUCUGUCCAGGAACUCAUCGAGAUAGAUCUCUAAAUUAUAAAUGUGGCUAUGAAAAUGAUUUUUACUGCGCCUCGUGGGGCUGUGAAACCACUGGAGAUACCUAUUGGACUCCAUCCUCCUCUUGGGAUUAUAUCACAGUUAAACGACUUCACCCCAACUCCAAAGUCACCUCCCCUAGAAAACAACCUCUUAAUAGCUAUUUUUCCCCCAAUUCUUCGAGACAAGGGUGGUGCAACCCAUUACAAAUUGGCUUUACAACAGCCGCAAGGACUGCUGACUGGACCAAGAGAGAAUUCUCUUGGGGGUUGCGCAUAUAUAAAGAGGGCACAGAUUGGGGAUUGACAUUCAAGAUUCAACUACAAAAAGAAAUCCCCAACAAACAUAAAGCAUCUAUAGGACCUAACCCCCAAUUACAUCACCCUAAUUCCCCAAACAAUCCCCGACUUCCAGGUACCAGCCCUCCUUUUCCUGCCCUAGGGCAUACUACAACCCUAUUUCAGCCCACUAUCCCUGCGGGGGGGGCCCCCCUUCUUCCACUGAUUUAUUGUGGUCUAUAUUGAAUGCUUCUGCUUUAGCCUUGUUAGAUAAAACACAAAGAGAUAAUACGUCAGAAUUUGAAGAUUGUUGGAUGUGCUUUUCUGCUUCCCCAUCCUUUUAUGAGGGCAUAGCCUUAUUUGGAAAUUUUACCCUGCUUUCAGAUGCUAGGCAGCUUCCCUUUGAGUCAGUUCAGCUUACCCUGACAAAACUCUCUGGGAAAGGAGGUUGUGUGUUGGGCCCAGACAUGCUUCCGCUGUGGCCCUUGCUAGAAAUUUGCAAUAACAUGUUUAGAGGAAAUAAAAAUAGGUAUUCUUAUCUUCUUGCCCCAAAUGAUACCUUUUUUGGCAUGUUCCACAGGCCUUACAUGGUACAUUAUUAUACAAGAUUUUAUAAAUAAUAGAGAUUAUUGUGUCUUGGUUCAGCUUUUUCCAAAUUUUAGUAUUCAUAAGACAGAUGACUUAUUAACGUUUUGGGACCAAGGGGCCUCCUUGCUAUCCCACCACAAAAGAGAGCCUAUCUCGGCGGUGAGCCUUGCGGUCCUUCUUGGCCUGGGUGCUGCUGGGACCGUGACCGGAAUCGCAGCCCUUGUGUCAUCUCAACAGAAUGCGUGCAAUUACCAUCUGCUCAAUGAGGCUAUUAACCAAGAUAUAGAAAAUAUAAAAAAGGGCCUAGGUGAUCUUACUGAUUCCUUGGUCUCCCUUUCAGAAGUUGCCCUUCAAAAUAGAAGGGGAUUAGAUUUGCUCUUUCUACAACAAGGAGGCUUAUGCGCUGCACUUAAAGAAGAAUGCUGUGUAUAUGUUGAUAAAACUGGAUUAGUUAAAGAUAGCAUUGCCAAGGUUACUGCCAGUUUAGAAAAAAGAAAAAGAGAGAGAGAACAACAAGAGUCAUGGUAUCAAAAUUUGUUUUCAACCUCCCCCUGGCUUUCGACCUUGUUGUUCUCCCUUUUGGGGCCCCUAUUGGGACUCCUAUUAUUGAUUUCCUUUGGUCCUUGGGCAUUUCAAAAAUUGACCCGAUUUGUUAAAUCUCAAAUUGAUUCAUCUCUUUCAAGUGCAUUUGUUUCAGUUCAUUACCAUCGGCUGGACAUUGGUGAUAACAAGCAGGUUACUAGAGAAGAGGCAGACGUGGAUGCCGCUUCAUCACCCUCAUCUCGGGGAGAGAGACUCAAUUUCCAUAAAAUGCUUAAGUAAGAUCAUUCCCCUUCCCCUAAAUUCGGCCAUCAGUCUCAUGCCACGAAUCAUUUAUAGAUUGCCAUAGUCUGUGCUUCCGACAUGGUAAUAUACAUUCUCGCCACAUUGGAAACUAAACAGUCAUCCCAGGCUAGACACAUCAAAAAAAUGGAACUUGAAGUCGUAUGUAUGAAGGUUGAGUGCCCUAGGGUCCUUCUCCCAGGAAAAACGGCAUGGGAGCAGGUCAGGGUUACUCUGGGUAGAAAUCUGUGGGCCUAAGAGUCAAUCCUGUACAUGACCUCUAACAUUGCACACUGGGUAUCAGACCUCUACCUCUACCCACAGAGCUUGCUUCAUUCCUAAAUCCCUUGGCUGGUCCAAGUUAUACCCAACAGACUGGGAACAUUAAUUCAAGCCUCAUAGAUGACUUUUCCUUGUGUCCUUCAUGGUUUUAGAAAUUCACCGGGUGAGCAAACAGAAGUUUAGGUGAUCGUUAAAAACAUGGCUACAAAUUUAUUAUACAAUAUGCCUUCAUAAAAAUAUUAAAAUGGGGGAGAUGUUGGGAGCUAUUAAGACAACUCUUGAUCUCUAAAUUCGGCCUCUCCUACCGAGAAGAAAAAAGGGGUCAAGCGGGCCACCGACACAUGGAUUCCGAGAACCACCACGGGAUGUACCAGCCCUAAGUCAUCUCCGAUGCCCUGACCCCACCCUGAUACCACCAAGUUCCUGCUUCCCCGUGUAGCUGCCAAAAGAAAGAAUUUCUAUUGCCCCCCCUCCCAUAAGUACUUCUCCUUUUGCUUGUAUUGCCAUACCCCUCCCACUGAUAAGUAUCUGUACUUCCCCUUUUGCUUGUGCAUUUAAACCUGGGGCCUGACUAAUACAUUUGGGGCUUUGAUGCAUUCCAGAACAUUUCCAUGCCGUUAUUCGCACAAGGCCCUCGUCCCUCUCUAACCCCCAUUUGGUUCUUAGGAGGAGGUCCCCUCGAGACCCUCAAAUAACUGGACCUGCUAGAUGGGUCAAGAGGCAAUGAACACUGGAUGUGGAAAUGAAGGCCAUUAGUUGAAGAGUAUUUAGAACAGCUAGUAGGAGGGGAAAGGGCCCUUCCCUCUGGAAAGUCAAUUGAGGAAGUUAAGCUGGGUUCUUUCUCUGCCUCUGGUCUUGAAGGCAUUCACAACUUCAUCAGCCUCCUCAGUCUUCAUUGGUAAAACUGAAUGUCUGGGAAGUUGUUGUUGUUGUUGUUUUUAACAAAACAAAACCAAAGAAUCAUAAUGGCAGAAAAUGUGGCAAUCAGUAGGUUGCAUGGAGUUGCCUUAGUAGGUAGACAUUACAUCCUGAUCUAGUAUCAGAGUAGAAAAGAAGGACAAGGUAGAAAAAAAACACUCAGAUUGGCUGGGUUUAGGAAAUCCUCAAAGUCUGCCUGCCACCACUGACAUACCUCCUCUAACAGGGCCACAUCCCCAAUCCUUCCUAAAUUUCCCACCAUCUAGGGACCAAGUAUUCAAACAUAUAAGUGUAUUGCAAGGAUUCUCAUUCAAAACCCCAUGAGGUCCUUAUGCUAAGUGAAAUGAGCCAGCCACUAAAUGAACAACAAACAGUUCUUGAUCCUUAGAGCUAGCAAAUAUACAGAUUUGGAGUCAAGAAUAGGAGACAAAAAAUUGGGUGAGUAAUGAAAAUUUAAUGUUUCCAUAAACACAAAGGAUGAGUUUGAAAUAUCAAUGAUGCUCUGUAGAUGGCCUGUGGGGUUUGUACAUCAUUUUCUUAACACUACUGAACUGGGUACUUGAAUGUGGUAAGAUGGUAAAACAUAGAUAGCCUCUAAAUCACAAAUAGAAUCAUGCUGAUUGAGGAGACCAGACUUUGCUCCACACAGAGAGGGCACACAGCCCCGAAGCGCACACAGCUUUGGGUGAGUCCCUGGACCUGUCUCUUUGAGAAAGAUGUGUAGAAUGAUGUUUUGCCCAUGGAGAUGCAAGUGGACCAGGCUGUAAAUAGCUCAGAUGGCAAAGAACAUACUUUGUGUGAUGGUUUGAAAAUGCUCAUCCAGGGUGUAGAAUUAUUAGAAAGUAUGGCCCUGUUGAAGUACAGGUUGCCUUAUUGGAAUAGUUGUAUCACUAUAGGUAUGGGCAGUAAGAUCACCAUCCUCGCUGCCUGGAAGCCAGUAUUCCACUAUCAGCAUGCAGAUGAAGAUGUAGAACUCUCAUCUCCUCUGGUACCAUACCAGCCUGGAUGCUGCCACGUUCCUCUUUUGAAGAUAAUGGACUCAAACUCUGAAUCUUUAAGUCAACUCCAAUUCAUUGAUGUCCUUUAUAAGAUUUUCCUUGAUCAUGGUGUCCAUUUGCAACAGUAAAAUCAUAAGAUACAUUGUAAGCAUGAAGACUUGAGUUGACCCCAAGCAUCACUUAGAAGAGUGUGACCCCAGACAAAUAUCUCAGUCUGCAAGUUGGUUUAGGUCAACUUGUUUCUAGAUAAACUACUGGUUGAAUAACUGGUUGAAUAAUUGUGAAUUAGAAGCUGUGAGAAAUAAAUAUUCUGCUUGUCAAUAAAUGAUAUUAGAGAAUUCAACAAUAUAUAAAGAGGUGCACCAUUU